CCUCAAAAUUAAAGAAAUUAUUAUAAACAUAUCUCCCUCCCCCUCGCCAUUCAAUGUUGUUUACCCAAUCACAUACAAGUAAGAUGCUGAGAUCCAACAUUGGAUUGAGCGAGUGGAAAUUUGUCAAAAUAAUAGGUAGUUAGGGCGUCUGUCCCAACAGAUUUGAAAAUGAUUGUAGUAUGCAGGGUCUUAGUCAGAACCUGGAAUUUGGGCGUCCAAAUUUUGAGAUUUGGCUUACAUGGUGGUGAAUCUUUGGGCGAAACGUUGAUUCUGGCCAAAAUCUGACAAUUGCAGAUAAUUUACCAUAAAUUAGGACUUUUCUUGCAUGAGAAUCGAUUCGUACUGCAUAAUCCUUGUUACACGUACAUUAAACGAUUCUAAAUAAUUUAAAUAUAAUUUAUAUAACCACAUGACUUCGUAUGAUGUAGAGUUGAACUACCUUCAACCUCGUACCCGGGGGAGGGGGUCUGGGCCAGCGUAGGUAGUGACAAUAACGGCAGCGGCAAUAUGGUCAUCAACAAUGCAUUAAUCCUCAAAGACAAAGGCGAAUGUAAAUUACAUGGUCUGACUUAAGCGUCGUGUAAUGCCGUAGUUGUUGAAACUAGUACGUGAUUUGCAUCAUUUUCACGGUGCAUGACUACACC